CAUGAAACAAAGUAUGUUACCGGCCCGAUGUCUCUCUGGAAAGAAAUCCUUGCUCUAAGCUCAUCAACUUUGUUAUCAAAAGACUGAACAUUUCCAAGUAAUAUACUCGGAAGCCGUGGGUGGUGUGCGUGCCUCCUAAGUUGAACCAGCAGGCCGCCUCGAGUGCCUCUCCUCUGCCGGCGAUGUUUUGGGGUGGCCUCUGGAAUAAGUUAAAUUGCUUUGGGGAGAGUGAACAAAGGAUCUGCUCCAGGGAAGUUGUAUUCCUGGUCAUAAUGCUGGUAGUUCUGUCUACCUACCUCUCUCCGGGUCGCUGAGGCACUAUUCGGGUUGGUUUUCUGGCACUAUGGCCUUCUGGAGGACAUCGUUUCCGACCAUGGUCCACCAAUUCACGUCGCAGGUCUGGAAAGCCUUUAUGGAGAAGCUGGGGGCCACGGUCAGCCUCACAUCCGGGUACCGGCCUAACGGGCAUGUGGAGAGGCCCAACCAAGAGCUGGGGGGGUUCCUAAGGAGUCACUGGCAGGGGGAGUGGGCCCGGUUCCUUCCCUGCACGGAAUACGCACAGAACUCACUUCGUUACUCCACCGAGCUGACUCCCUUCCAGUGCGUCCUGGGAUAUCAGCCGGCACUGGCUCUGUGGACUCUGAGCCAGACCGAGGCCCCUGCAGUUGACGAGUGGUGCAGAGGUGUGGAACACCACCAAUGUGAGGCUCCGGCGCGCCAUCCACUGUCAGAAGGAUUGGGCGAUCCGCCACUACAGUGAGGCGCCUGUGUUCCAUCCUGGUGAUCGCAUCUGACUCUACACCAGGAACCUCCCACUCCGCCUGCCCUGCCGGAAGCUGAGCCCCCAGUUUGUGGGGCCCUUCAAGGUCCUCUGGAGGGUCAAUGAGGUAACCUAUCAUUUAGAACUCCACACCAACUACCGGCUCUAACCCUCCUUUCAUAUUUCCUUCCACAGGCCGGUGCUUCCUGGUCCCCUGGCUGAUGCUGUCCUCGCGACACCCCUCCACCUCCCCUGGACAUCGAAGGGACCCCCACCUAUACUAUUUGGUCCCUACUGGACUCCUCAACUCAUGGGAGUCGACUCCAGUACCUGGUGGACUAGGAGGGCUACGGUCCUGAGGAGAGCGCUCUUGGGUCCCUGUGGCGGUCAACCUCUGUUGCUCUAGGAUGCCCACAUGCCUUACAAGACUCGUCUGAAGGUCCCCGGGUACCAGUUGUGUGUGUGUGUGUGUGUGUGUGUGUGUAUAUAAAUGAGACUGUUUAGUGCCAAAAAUAAGGGGUUAAAUACAUGCAAAAACAAAUUUAACAAAUGCUUCCUGAACUUUAUUAUAUCUCUCAGAUAUAGGACAGACACUUCAGAACAAACUUUCCUUUUUAUUUAUUUUAGGGACUCUGUUCCACUCUAGUGAAUCUGUUAUUCAAUGUGUUUGUAUGGACUAAUGACGGUAAGGCCACUUGUUGUAUAUGGAAAAACAUUUUUUUUUUUUUUUUCAAAAUGAAAAAGCUAAAUGGUCCUUGGUGUGACCUUCUCAAAACAAUUACAUUUAAGUGAAUAAAUAUGUGAUAUUAUAUAUAUCGUUUUUAAACAACGAAGAUGGCUUGAUUGCGUAGGUCUUCAUACCCGAGGUAAUAAUAGGUGGAAACCCAUUUGGCAGCAACUUUACACAGGAUAGCUGUCUUUCAGGAUGCAUUUCUUGUGCUGUAUCCCAUAGUGCAGGGGUAUUAAUCUGGCCCUCAAGACCUGUAACACUUCUGGUUUUCAUUCUUCCCCUCUAAUCAAAUUUUAUUGGUCACAUACCCAUGUUUAGCAGAUGUUAUUGCGGUUGUAGCGACUGAUUUAGAAAUACCUAUAAUCUGUGCCUAAUAUACAGUGCCUUUGGAAUUUAUUCAGACUCCUUAGCCUUAUUCUAAAAUGUUUUAAAUUGUUUUUUUCUCAAUCUAUGCACAAUACCCGAUAAUGACAAAGCAAAAAUAAAUGUAGAAAUUGUUGCUAAUUUAUUACAUUUUAAAUGGAAAUAUCACAUUUACAUAAAUAUUCAGACCCUUUACUCAGUACUUUGUUGAAGCCCCCUUGGCAGCGAUUACAGCCUCGAGUCUUCUUGGGUAUGAUGCUACAAGCUUGGCACACCUGUAUUUGGGUAGUUUCUCCCAUUCUUCUCUGAAGAUCCUCUCAAGCCCUGUCAGGUUGGAUGGGGAGAGUUGCUGCACAGCUAUUUUCAGGUCUCUCCAGAGAUGUUCAACCGGGUUCGAGUCCGAGCUCUGGCUAGGUCAGUCAAGGACAUUCAGAGA
rnacentral:lncRNA from 1 species